CUGUUCCAUUUUGGAAAUUUCAAACAUUGCAUAACUCUUUAUGAUGCUCCUGAUGCUUCCAUAUUAUCUUGUUGCAGGUUUUGGCUGAAUCAGUUGACUCAGUGAGUGAGUUUGAAAAUUGGUGGCUGAGCCAAAAUCAAUGAACUUAUGCAUUACAUGGAGAAACCCGAGACUUUUGUAGUACAAGCCCCUAAAAGUAGCUGACUUGUUCAUUCAUAUUUAAGUGAUAACAGUGUUUCAGAGCUUCAAGUGGUAUUAGCUUACUCUGAAGCUACAGAAUGACUAAUCAGUGCUUCAGCAGGUUUUACUCAUCUUUAAUCUUAGUUUUCAUAUUUAUAGCUAAUCUUCAACAUGUAUCCAUCUUUCUCUUCAGUCAGCAACAAAGUAAGGUUUUUUCUGCUUCUCAACUUUCAUUUAUAAACAUCUUCACAUUGAUGAACAUUGUACCUUUAUUUUUUAGUAAUGGUGUAUCACUUUGCAUAUAUCAAUUUUUACUUUUGGAAAAAGCUUAGCUUACUAUGAAGCUAUUGAAUGACUAAUGACUCGUGUUCAUUCAACAGGUCGUGCCCUACUGAUUUAUAAGAUUAGAAGAUAUCAUGUAACCCUUGAUGCGAAGAGAAGUAACUUUAUACUUAUGAGGCUAUAUUUCUGGGAACACAUCAAAACUCAUGAGUAGACCAAUUUGCAAGUAAAGGAAUGUUACGUCAUCCAUCUGAUUUGCUCAUUUUAAUUUUAUUAUUUACUGUUCAACAAUUAUUUGUUGGAAACUCAGCACUAGACUUGAGUUUCUCUUGGGUUUAGAUUUUUUUUAUGUUGCUUGAAUGGAACCAGUUGCUUAUUGAGUGUAACAGAUUUUGACCUUGUAAUUCUUUUUAGUAAAUAAAUGAUGUUGUUGGAAU